AGAGAGAGAAGAAAGAGUGGACUUGGCCACAUUCAUUACAUCAAUGAAGAAAAGAAUCUUACUUCUUAAAAAAAAAUUAGUCAAGACAGGGUUAGGGGGUAGGGCGGGGGUCAGUAAAGAGUGACAGUCUUAGUGGAGUUUGUGUCAUGUGAACUGCCUAUCAAUCUUAGUAACUUUACUGGACACCACCUUCAUUAAACUGAAGCACUGUGGACUCUGAGACAUCAGAAGAGCAC